rnacentral:rRNA from 1 species
GAUGAACGCUGGCGGCGUGCCUAAUACAUGCAAGUCGAGCGCACGGACGAGAAGCUUGCUUCUCUGAUGUUAGCGGCGGACGGGUGAGUAACACGUGGAUAACCUACCUAUAAGACUGGGAUAACUUCGGGAAACCGGCGCUAAUACCGGAUAAUAUUUUGAACCGCAUGGUUCAAAAGUGAAAGACGGUCUUGCUGUCACUUAUUGAUGGAUCCGCGCUGCAUUAGCUAGUUGGUAAGGUAACGGCUUACCAAGGCAACGAUGCAUAGCCGACCUGAGAGGGGGAUCGGCCACAUGGGAACUGAAAAAGGGUCCAGACCCCCACGGGAGGCAGCAGUAGGGAACCUUGGGCAAUGGGCGAAAGCCUGACGGAGCAACGCCGCGUGAGUGAGGAAGGUCUUCGGAUCGUAAAACUCUGUGAUUAGGGAAGAACAGAUGUGUAAGUAACUGUGCACAUCGUGACGGUACCUAAUCAGAAAGCCACGGCUAACUACGUG